CCCAGUUUGUCCAGUUAAGUGGGUGAGGCAGCACCUAGGAUUAUAUGGGAUCAAGGAGAAUCAGAGAAGGAGGAGACUGUUCCUGAAGGAAGUUGUGUGAGGUUUGUGGGGAAGGCUGAGGAGGGCUGAAGACAGCAAAGGGAGUUGCUUGCUGAUUUACAAGUUAACAAUGUACAUGGACAACUGAGAGACCAGUUGGCUGUGAACUACAAUAUUUCAAUUUCAAUCAAGGGUCUGUGCAUAAUGGCACAUUAAUAUAAGCCUGAGAAUGUUCCUGCACUAAAAAUAGGAUUGGUAGAUUGAUCUUCUUUUGGCACGAUAGCCCUAAAGCAAAAGUAAUGCAAAGGUUUCCAACAGCUGAUGUUGGACUUAAAGUGAAGUAAUCAAUAGAAGUUCCAUCAGCUCAGCAUUAAUUUUCAGAUGUUCCUGUGUCCAUCAGUCUUGAGCUCCAGACAGAGCCAAACAGGGAGAAGAGACACCACCAGAACAGAGAGGUAAAUCCAAAUCUGGUCAGGAUGAAAAAGCUGACCAACAACAGAACUGCCACAAGGCAGCUUAGGGAUGUUGAAAAGGACAGAGCCACCAGUAAGACCCAGGAAACUCCUCAGAAAAAGAGCUCUGUUAUGAAUGGUACAGACACAUUCAGCAUAGAUCAAGAAAGGCUUCAUUUCAACAAGACCGUUCAUGCUCCAUCUGUCAGCUUCCUCAGCCUCCUAAGAGAUUGAUCAUGCACAGGGCAGGUUUGGAGAGUUGUCUAUGUAGGUGUAAAGUAAAAAGGGAUAAGCAAAACAGAGAAGGUAAGGGAAGCCGGUCCUGUGUUAAUGUUGAGAGGCCACCAAGCCCAAGAGGCACCUCAUUAGCCUGGGUUUCAUUUAAGCUCUUGUUACCUCAGAUAUGCCCAUAUGGAUAAUACAUGGUAAAAGACAAAACAUAGACACUGGACACCAUUUGGUGCUACAGAGCUCCGUUUUGGUGCUUGAAGCUCUUCCAAUGACAUUUUGAGACUUUCUGCCCAUCAAGCAGUGUGGAAGGGCCCUUCUCUGAAUUAAAGGAAAUAAUUGCUA